GUUGCUCCUGGAGCUCCAGGAGUCAGGACUGUGUCUAGCAGGCUGAUAGCACUGUGGCACUAUGGAUAGAGCAGUUACCGGUAGGGACUGAGGAGGUGAGAAGGAGCUCCUGGCUGGAUACUAGUACUGACAUGCUGAGGCCUUGAGGGUCUCUGGACAAGCCUUGGUCCCCCCCACACUUGGCACUGGGGAGGUGGUAAGACUGAGAUACUAACCCCCAGAAGAGGAGAACACAGAUGGUGACACAGGUGGAGGGCUGAGUCAUGAAGAGGAUGCCAAGGUUCCUGAGGCUAUGAGAGUGGCUGCAGGCAGAUGCACUAACGGUGUGCAAGCCAUGGACAGGAGGCAUCAGCCUCAAGCUAAUCCCCAGAAUCACCAGGAGGAGGCGCCAGUCCAGUGUCUUAGGAGAAAGUGACUCAUAUGAGUCUUUACCACUGUCCUGUGAUAGACCCGAAUUCAGAAGACUGAAACAUGCUCUGUUUUAAUUUUCCUUUGUAAAAAUUGUGCCUGCCCAGUAAA